rnacentral:rRNA from 1 species
UACGUAGGGUGCAAGCGUUAAUCGGAAUUACUGGGCGUAAAGGGCUCGUAGGCGGCCAACUAAGUCAGACGUGAAAUCCCUCGGCUUAACCGGGGAACUGCGUCUGAUACUGGAUGGCUUGAGUUUGGGAGAGGGAUGCGGAAUUCCGGGUGGAGUGGUGAAAUGCGUAGAGAUCCGGAGGAACACCGAAGGCGAAGGCAGUGUCCUGGCGCGUAACUGACGCUGAGGUGCGAAAGCCAGGGGAGCGAACGGG